GACGAACGCUGGCGGCGUGCUUAACACAUGCAAGUCGAACGGAAAGGCCCUGCUUUUGUGGGGUGCUCGAGUGGCGAACGGGUGAGUAACACGUGAGAAACCUGCCCUUGACUUUGGGAUAACUUCAGGAAACUGGGGCUAAUCCCGGAUAGGAGCUCCUGCUGCAUGGUGGGGGUUGGAAAGUUUCGGCGGUUGGGGAUGGACUCGCGGCUUAUCAGCUUGUUGGUGGGGUAGUGGCUUACCAAGGCUUUGACGGGUAGCCGGCCUGAGAGGGUGACCGGCCACAUGGGGACUGGGGUAGGGCCCGGACUCCAACGGGGGGCAGCGGUGGGGAGUAUUGCACAAUGGGCGGAAGCCUGAUGCGGCAACGCCGCGUGCGGAAUGACGGCCUUCGGGUUGUAAACCGCUUUCGCCUGUGACGAGGCGUGAGUGACGGUAAUGGGUAAAGAAGCACCGGCUAACUACGUG
rnacentral:rRNA from 1 species